GGAGUCAUUAUAAUUUGGAAGUGUCAACCAAAUUCACGGUCGACAACGACAGAUCAAAACACACGCGUUCAAUUGGCGCCAGCGAGAGCUUUCUAUGUAUCAUGCAUCCAUGAGUCAACUUAGCCUUUUAUAGAUAGAGAAUAAACUUGCU